rnacentral:rRNA from 1 species
AUUGAACGCUGGCGGCAGGCCUAACACAUGCAAGUCGAGCGGAAACGAAGGGAGCUUGCUCCCAGGCGUCGAGCGGCGGACGGGUGAGUAACACGUGAGAAUCUGCCCAUUAGUGGGGGACAACCCGGGGAAACUCGAGCUAAUACCGCCUAAUCCCUACGGGGGAAAGCAGGGGACCUUCUGGCCUUGCGCUGAUGGAUGAGCUCACGUCGGAUUAGCUUGUUGGUUCGGGAAAGGCUCACCAAGGCGACGAUCCGUAGCUGGUCUGAGAGGAUGAUCAGCCACACUGGGACUGAGACACGGCCCAGACUCCUACGGGAGGCAGCAGUGGGGAAUCUUGGACAAUGGGGGCAACCCUGAUCCAGCCAUGCCGCGUGUGUGAAGAAGGCCUUCGGGUUGUAAAGCACUUUCAGCAGGGAGGAAGGCUUUGGCCGAAUAGGUUGAAGUACUUGACGUUACCUGCAGAAGAAGCACCGGCUAAUUUCGUGCCAGCCGCCGCCGUAA